CAGCACACACACAGCACACACACACAGCACACAAACAGCACACACACACAGCACUGUGUGUGUGUGCUGUGUGUGUGCUGUAUGUGUGUGUGUGCUGUUUGUGUGCUGUAUGUGUGUGCUGUGUGCUG